AAUCCCCUGCUUUGCGCGUGAUGGGUAAACUUGUUCCUCGUGAAAAGAAUAAAACGGGAGCUUACCUCGGAGCGUGUGUGCAUGCCCAGACAAGACUGGGAAGCCUGAUCGAGCCGACAGGGCGCCCACCUGGUUACGACCAGGAAUCAAGUUAAUCUGCACGGCAAAAGCGGGGGUUUU
rnacentral:other from 1 species